UACGUAGGGUCCGAGCGUUGUCCGGAAUUAUUGGGCGUAAAGGGCUCGUAGGCGGUUUGUCGCGUCGGGAGUGAAAACCGGGUGCUUAACACCUGGCUUGCUUUCGAUACGGGCAGACUGGAGGUAUGCAGGGGAGAACGGAAUUCCUGGUGUAGCGGUGAAAUGCGCAGAUAUCAGGAGGAACACCGGUGGCGAAGGCGGUUCUCUGGGCAUGACCUGACGCUGAGGAGCGAAAGUGUGGGGAGCGAACAGGAUUAGAUACCCCAGUAGUCC
rnacentral:rRNA from 1 species